UUAUAAGCUCUAUGCAGUUAGUCUUGUAAACUAAAAGAAGAGGUUAAAACCCUUACUAAGGCU
rnacentral:tRNA from 1 species